CAAAUAUCCAAUGAAAGCAGAGCAGCAGAAAGACGUGCUGAGUGUAAAGCUGUCAGCAGGGGGAAUAACACAGGGCUGUGAAUGAGUCCUGUCACUGUGAUCAGGCUCCUCCUUCUAAUCCACCAACUUAGUGUUGAUGAAGACUAAACAGAGAGAUCACAGCUUCUUUAUACUUGCUGUAGCUCACAGUUACUCUACACUGCAGAUAUGACGCCUCUGUUCAUCUCAGUGCUGCUGGCUGCUAUGUGCCUCGAAUGCAGAGCACAAAAAGACAACGUGCUGCAAGCAAAAGGAGAAGAGACUGCUGCUGCAGGAGGCACAGUAACACUUCACUGUCAGUAUGAGAGCAGUGGAACUAGUAAUUAUCUCUUCUGGUACAAACAGGAUGGAAACAACAGCCCCAAAUUCAUCCUGAGUCGUGUUAGUGGGGACCAAGGAGACACAGCAGCCGAGUUCAAGGAGAGAUUUUCAUCCACACUGGAUUCCAGCAUCAGAUCAGUUCCUCUGAAGAUCCAGAAGCUUCAGCUGUCUGACUCUGCUGUGUACUACUGUGCUCUGCAGCCCACAGUGACAGGAAACACCAAAACUCUGUACAAAAACCUUUGGAGCAAAGACAACAGAAUACUCCACAACAUCCACUAGAGGGAGCCACACACUGUUACACCUCUGAUUCUUGUGUCAUUGGACUGAUGACAAAUCUUCAUCUUUAUCUCCAACAGAAAUCAAACUGAUCAAUAACAACAUGAUAAAUGAUUGAUCACUGAUCCCACAGAGGUGGUUGUAGGUAAAGUACAGACAUCCAGGACUUGUUUCAUUGACUUCUUUACUCAAAAGUGAAAAAGUGCAGAG